rnacentral:rRNA from 1 species
GACGAACGCUGGCGGCGUGCCUAAUACAUGCAAGUAGAACGCUGAAGGAGGAGCUUGCUUCUCCGGAUGAGUUGCGAACGGGUGAGUAACGCGUAGGUAACCUGCCUGGUAGCGGGGGAUAACUAUUGGAAACGAUAGCUAAUACCGCAUAACAGUAGAUGUUGCAUGACAUUUGCUUAAAAGGUGCAAUUGCAUCACUACCAGAUGGACCUGCGUUGUAUUAGCUAGUUGGUGAGGUAACGGCUCACCAAGGCGACGAUACAUAGCCGACCUGAGAGGGUGAUCGGCCACACUGGGACUGAGACACGGCCCAGACUCCUACGGGAGGCAGCAGUAGGGAAUCUUCGGCAAUGGACGGAAGUCCGACCGAGCAACGCCGCGUGAGUGAAGAAGGUUUUCGGAUCGUAAAGCUCUGUUGUAAGAGAAGAACGAGUGUGAGAGUGGAAAGUUCACACUGUGACGGUAUCUUACCAGAAAGGGACGGCUAACUACGUG